AUUGAACGCUGGCGGCAGGCCUAACACAUGCAAGUCGAGCGGAUGAAGGGAGCUUGCUCCUGGAUUCAGCGGCGGACGGGUGAGUAAUGCCUAGGAAUCUGCCUGGUAGUGGGGGAUAACGUCCGGAAACGGGCGCUAAUACCGCAUACGUCCUGAGGGAGAAGGUGGGGGAUCUUCGGACCUCACGCUAUCAGAUGAGCCUAGUUCGGAUUAGCUAGUUGGUGGGGUAAAGGCCUACCAAGGCGACGAUCCGUAACUGGUCUGAGAGGAUGAUCAGUCACACUGGAACUGAGACACGGUCCAGACUCCUACGGGAGGCAGCAGUGGGGAAUAUUGGACAAUGGGCGAAAGCCUGAUCCAGCCAUGCCGCGUGUGUGAAGAAGGUCUUCGGAUUGUAAAGCACUUUAAGUUGGGAGGAAGGGCAGUAAGUUAAUACCUUGCUGUUUUGACGUUACCAACAGAAUAAGCACCGGCUAACUUCGUG
rnacentral:rRNA from 1 species